UACGGGGGGGGCAAGCGUUGUUCGGAAUUACUGGGCGUAAAGGGCUCGUAGGCGGCCAACUAAGUCAGACGUGAAAUCCCCAGGCUCAACCUGGGAACUGCGUCUGAUACUGGAUGGCUUGAAUCCGGGAGAGGGAUGCAGAAUUCCAGGUGUAGCGGUGAAAUGCGUAGAUAUCAGGAGGAACACCGGUGGCGAAGGCGGAUCUCUGGGCCUUACCUGACGCUGAGGCGCGAAAGCUAGGGGAGCGAACAGG
rnacentral:rRNA from 1 species